GUGACCUAACUUGAACCAAAUCUAUUCUUUAGGGUUGCACCUCUGGCUCCUCGAGCUCUAUCUAGUCAGGAACUAAGGUCUGGUUUAUGAACCAUUACUACUUGACCCGAGCGUGAUUGUCAUCCUUGUUGGACCUCUUUGGGCCAUCAAACCAUAUAGGAUUGCCCUCAGCCUAAUUUAACUGGUUUGAAUUGGCUAAGUAGUUGUCUGACAGAGU